UGGUUCGAUUCUGGCUCAGAGUGAACGCUGGCGGCGUGCCUAAUACAUGCAAGUCGAACGAUGAAGCUCUAGCUUGCUAGAGUGGAUUAGUGGCGCACGGGUGAGUAAUGCAUAGAUAACAUGCCCUUUAGUCUAGGAUAGCCAUUGGAAACGAUGAUUAAUACUGGAUACUCCUUACGAGGGAAAGUUUUUCGCUAAAGGAUUGGUCUAUGUCCUAUCAGCUUGUUGGUGAGGUAAUGGCUCACCAAGGCUAUGACGGGUAUCCGGCCUGAGAGGGUGAACGGACACACUGGAACUGAGACACGGUCCAGACUCCUACGGGAGGCAGCAGUAGGGAAUAUUGCUCAAUGGGGGAAACCCUGAAGCAGCAACGCCGCGUGGAGGAUGAAGGUUUUCGGAUUGUAAACUCCUUUUGUUAGAGAAGAUAAUGACGGUAUCUAACGAAUAAGCACCGGCUAACUCCGUGCCAGCAGCCGCGGUAAUACGGAGGGUGCAAGCGUUACUCGGAAUCACUGGGCGUAAAGAGCGCGUAGGCGGGAUAGCAAGUCAGAUGUGAAAUCCUAUGGCUUAACCAUAGAACUGCAUUUGAAACUGUUAUUCUAGAGUAUGGGAGAGGUAGGUGGAAUUCUUGGUGUAGGGGUAAAAUCCGUAGAGAUCAAGAGGAAUACUCAUUGCGAAGGCGACCUGCUAGAACAUAACUGACGCUGAUGCGCGAAAGCGUGGGGAGCAGACAGGAUUAGAUACCCUGGUAGUCCACGCCCUAAACGAUGAAUGCUAGUUGUUGUGGAGCUUGUCUCUGCAGUAAUGCAGCUAACGCAUUAAGCAUUCCGCCUGGGGAGUACGGUCGCAAGAUUAAAACUCAAAGGAAUAGACGGGGACCCGCACAAGCGGUGGAGCAUGUGGUUUAAUUCGAAGAUACACGAAGAACCUUACCUAGGCUUGACAUUGAUAGAAUCCGCUAGAGAUAGUGGAGUGCUAGCUUGCUAGAACUUGAAAACAGGUGCUGCACGGCUGUCGUCAGCUCGUGUCGUGAGAUGUUGGGUUAAGUCCCGCAACGAGCGCAACCCUCGUCCUUAGUUGCUAACUAUUCGGUAGAGCACUCUAAGGAGACUGCCUUCGCAAGGAGGAGGAAGGUGAGGAUGACGUCAAGUCAUCAUGGCCCUUACGCCUAGGGCUACACACGUGCUACAAUGGGAAGCACAAAGAGAUGCAAUAUUGUGAAAUGGAGCAAAUCUAUAAAACUUCUCUCAGUUCGGAUUGUAGUCUGCAACUCGACUACAUGAAGCUGGAAUCGCUAGUAAUCGUAAAUCAGCUAUGUUACGGUGAAUACGUUCCCGGGUCUUGUACUCACCGCCCGUCACACCAUGGGAGUUGUAUUCGCCUUAAGUCGGAAUGCCAAACUGGCUACCGCCCACGGCGGAUGCAGCGACUGGGGUGAAGUCGUAACAAGGUACCC
rnacentral:rRNA from 1 species